CUUGGUCUUUCCCCCUACCCCCUCCCUGUCCUGUCCUUUCCUAAGUCAAAUAAGGAGACUGUGCUAGAGCCUUCUAAGGAAGCAGCCGAGGGACCUGGAGAGGAAGGAACGAAGGAAGGGAAGGAGAAGGAAUCUCCAUCCACGGCCCCCACCUGCUCCCUGGUCCCUGCUGUGCCCCUAGCUGAGCUCAGUCCCUCUCCCCCAUCGCUAAGCCCCACUGGAGCGGUCCCUCCGUCGCUGCCAUGGAUGACGUCUCUCUUAGGAGAGGCAGCCAGUCCCCAGAAGGGGCAUCUGUGUGGCUGGAACCUUAGCCCGCCUCCCAGAGGCGUCCCUGGUGACCUCCCUCCCCUCCAUAAACACACACCUGUGGCCCAGGGGUAGCAGAAAUGUUCCCAGCCCCCCAGGUGUGACAUGGGGGCAGCACAGAAAGAAUAAAGCAUCUCAGCUUUGA